GCCCCCUGCUCUCUCUACAAAGGGAGAGUUUUGCUAUCAGUGAGUAAUUCUGAAGCUGGCUGGCUCAGACUGUCCAGGAACCUUGACCCUUCAGUGAUCUGAAGGAAGAAAACAGGCCUUGACCCAUCAGUCCCCAUGGUCUCCAUACACUCAGGGAAAGACAAGUUUAGAUUGAACAGAGGGCAGAGAACCAGGCUGUGCAGCCCAGCCUUGCCCCACCGGGCUCUGGCCCUCUCCUCAGUCUCCUUCCCUCCCUGGCUCAGACCCCAUCCCCCUCCCCCUCCUCUCCCUGCAGUGGCCUAUGAGGAACUCCUGGACAACCGAAAACUGGAAGGUCAGUGAGGGUAUAGGUGGAGACCAUACCUGGCCAGGUUGGGAGGGCAAGGUCAAGGCUGGGGGCAGGAGGCCAGGCCCCGGAGGGGUGAAGCCAAGGGUUCAGGCCCCAGGGCAAGAGGCUGGGAGAGCCCAGGAGUGGACACAGCCUUGGUUCAUUUGCUGUUCUUCCUCCCUCCCAGUGACCCAGACUACAGAUCCAUCACGGCAGCUGGAGGGUGGGAAUCUCGCUUUGGCUAUCCUGUUGCCCCUGGGCUUGGUCAUUGUCCUUGGCACUGGUGUUUACAUAUACUACACUAAGCUACAAGGAAAAUCCCUCUUUGGCUUCUCGGGCUCUCACUCCUACAGUCCCAUUACCGUGGAGUCAGACUUCAGCAACCCACUGUAUGAAGCUGGGGUGAGUCUCUCCCCUCCCCUUGGGGUGCCCCAUCU
rnacentral:lncRNA from 1 species